CGGCGGACGGGUGAGUAACGCGUGGGUAACCUGCCUCAUACAGGGGGAUAACAGUUGGAAACGGCUGCUAAUACCGCAUAAGCGCACAGUACCGCAUGGUACGGUGUGAAAAACUCCGGUGGUAUGAGAUGGACCCGCGUCUGAUUAGGUAGUUGGUGGGGUAACGGCCUACCAAGCCGACGAUCAGUAGCCGACCUGAGAGGGUGACCGGCCACAUUGGGACUGAGACACGGCCCAAACUCCUACGGGAGGCAGCAUG
rnacentral:rRNA from 1 species